rnacentral:rRNA from 1 species
CAGCAGUCGCCACGGUAAUACGAGGGGUGCAAGCGUUAUUCGGAUUGAUUGGGUGUAAAGGGUGUGCAGACGGCUUAUUAAGUCACUUGUUAAAUUCUUCGGCCUAACUGAAGGUCUGCAAGUGAUACUGAUGAGCUAGAGGGUGGAAGAGAGAAGUGGAAUUCUCGGAGUAGCAGUGAAAUGCGUAGAUAUGCGGAGGAACACCGAUGGCGAAGGCAGCCCCCUGGGCCAACACUGACGCUCAUGCACGAAAGCGUGGGGAGCAAACAGGAUUAGAUACCCGCGUAGUCCCUGUCUCUUAUAC